CUCCCCGGGCGUUCAGCUCCAGAUUCAAAGUGUCGUCCCCCAAAACCCCGAAAUAAAGGAGUGACAAACAGCCCUCCCAGGCCCUCCUCCCCACAGAGAGGUCAUCGUAUGCAAAUGAAGUCCGGGGAGGCAGCGGCGCAGCGCGGGAGAGCGCGCCCACGGGUUCACAGCGCUCCCGGGCCCCACUGCGGCGCAGCCACAAAUCGCCUCGCGCUGCAGCAGACCCUCCGCCGCGGGGGGCGACGGGGGAAGGGAUCUCGACCGCCGCCCUGAGUUUCGCAGCUGGAUCACUCCCAUCUGGGUGGUGGUUCUAGUUCUGGUCCCACGCUUUCCACUGCAGUGAUGGCGGGGAUGAGGGCAGCAAGUGAAAUCACCUGUAGGGCUUUUUCGAACUCCACAGCCCCUUCCCCUAAUUACAGUCCACUCCCUCAGACGAAGAAAAUCUCAAAGCAGGCAAGGGCAGGUGGGCCGGUGGAGUCUGCGAAAGCCCCACAGGUGAUUUCUGGGUACGCACCUCUCAAGACACAAACAUACACACGGACGCAUCUUGUGACUCCGAGACUACACACAUCAACCUUAGAUUCUCUUCCUGACCCUUCUCCCUGUAUUCUCCGAGGCGUCUGUGUUCUCUUCAGCCUCCCUUUAAGUCGCCUUGCUCCGGGGCUUGGUGGCGUGCCCCCAAAGUCCUAGAACCCCGCGGGACGGCAGGAGGCUUUGGCGGCCAGAUAUUAGGAAAAGCAGCCCCCGCUUCUCCGACUGCCUGGAGCGCGAACUGGGUAUCUAGUAGCCAAGGAUUGCUGAGCCUACCCAUUUUCCCUGGAUUUCGUUGGAGAAAAGAGACUAAGAGCCUGAGAACUUGAGCCAACUCUGCAGGAAGCAGCAGGACAAGAUGUGAAUGAUCUAAAGGACAGUGAUGGAUGCAAACCCUUUCCCAGCCCCCCUACACUGGAGUCACUGACAUGCUUUAUUCACAAACUCGUCAAGACCAUAAAAAUCCUUAGUGUACUCAUGACCUUUGUACCACCAAGGUGAAAGGAUGUGGCAUAAAUCCAAUAAGUUAUGGACAAUCUCUUAUUUGCUUUGUAUCUCUAGUACCUAGGUUGGAAAGUCCAAUAAACGUUUGUUGGAUGAAUGAA